UACGUAGGGGGCAAGCGUUGUCCGGAUUUACUGGGCGUAAAGGGCGCGUAGGCGGCACUGUUAGUCAGGCGUGAAAGUCCUGGGCUCAACCUGGGAAUUGCGCUUGAUACGGCAGAGCUAGAGGAUGGAAGAGGCUCGCGGAAUUCCCAGUGUAGAGGUGAAAUUCGUAGAUAUUGGGAAGAACACCGGUGGCGAAGGCGGCGAGCUGGUCCAUUACUGACGCUGAGGCGCGACAGCGUGGGGAGCAAACAGG
rnacentral:rRNA from 1 species